rnacentral:tRNA from 1 species
AAGGGAGACCUAAUUCAGGUAGGAGACGAAAAAAAAGUAGUCGCUACCAAGAAUCAAUCCCAAAAGGUCGGAGCGAGGCGAAAUUGGCUUUCAAACUAGGUUCUGGGUUCACACAAGACCUGAAUCAGGAACAAGGGCUAUUAGCUCAGGUGGUUAGAGCGCACCCCUGAUAAGGGUGAGGUCCCUGGUUCGAGUCCAGGAUGGCCCACCUGUACAGGUGGCAAAAAGAAAGAAAAGAAGCGAGGAAUCAGCACCUUAUCUUACUGACAUAGUAAGAGAGAAUGCUGGCUCUGAGUAAAGAGUCCAGAGGAACCUUGAAAACUGCAUAGAACUAGGUGAAAGAGCCAAAAAAGAAGACCGCAA